UCAGUUCAUGAACAAACAUUCUAUUUUCACUUUUAGGAUAUACACAGAGGAUUAUUUGGUGCCAGUCAGACUGUGAGGACUGCUCACAAAAACACUGCUGAUUUCUUUCACCUGAAUUCAUCUCAUCACUUUUGCAGACACCAUGGGUGCUCGACAGUCCGCCAUUCAUAUUACCAACAAGACUGAGGGCUACACCCUUCGUAACCCCAGGUGACUACACUUUUGUUCUUCUGUGUUUACUGUGGUGGUUUCUAAAGUGGGCGGGAUUUAUCUGUAACCCUAGAUCUGCAUCUUGUUAGCGGACUCUGCCAGAUUCCU